rnacentral:rRNA from 1 species
GGCUUAGCCUUGGNGGCNAGUGGCGAACGGGUGAGUAAUACAUCGGAACGUACCCAGAAGUGGGGGAUAACGUANCGAAAGUUACGCUAAUACCGCAUACGAUCUACGGAUGAAAGUGGGGGACCUUCGGGCCUCAUGCUUUUGGAGCGGCCGAUGUCUGAUUAGCUAGUUGGUANGGUAAAGGCCUACCAAGGCGACGAUCAGUAGCUGGUCUGAGAGGACGACCAGCCACANUGGGACUGAGACACGGCCCAGACUCCUACGGGAGGCAGCAGUGGGGAAUUUUGGACAAUGGGCGCAANCCUGAUCCAGCAAUGCCGCGUGAGUNAAGAAG